UAAUACCGGAUAGAUCAAAGAAACUGGAAUGUUCUCUGAUCGAAAGCUCCGGCGCCCAAGGAUGGGUCUGCGGCCUAUCAGGUAGUAGUGGGUGUAACGUACCUACUAGCCUACGACGGGUAAGGGUUGUGAGAGCAAGAGCCCUGAGAUGGAUUCUGAGACAUGAAUCCAGGCCCUACGGGGUGCAGCAGGCGCGAAAACUUUACACUGCGGGAAACCGCGAUAAGGGGACCCCGAGUGCCAGCACCUAGUGCUGGCUGUCCAGCUGUUCAAAUAACAGUUGUUAGCAAGGGCCGGGCAAGACCGGUGCCAGCCGCCGCGGUAACACCGGCGGCCCGAGUGGUAACCGAUUUUAUUGGGUUUAAAGGGUCCGUAGCCGGCCUAUUAAGUCUCUUGGGAAAUCUGGCGGCUUAAUCGUCAGGCGUCC
rnacentral:rRNA from 1 species